rnacentral:misc_RNA from 1 species
UCCGGUUUGUCACCGGCAGUCUGCCUAGAGUCCCCAACUAAAUGAUGGCAACUAGGCACAAGGGUUGCGCUCGUUACGGGACUUAACCCAACAUCUCACGACACGAGCUGACGACAGCCAUGCAGCACCUGUCUCUCGGUUCCCGAAGGCACUUCCGCAUCUCUGCAGAAUUCCAAGGAUGUCAAGGGUAGGUAAGGUUUUUCGCGUUGCAUCGAAUUAAACCACAUGCUCCACCGCUUGUGCGGGCCCCCGUCAAUUUCUUUGAGUUUUAGCCUUGCGGCCGUAUUCCCCAGGCGGAGUACUUAAUGCGUUUGCUCCACUACUGAAAGGUCUUUCCCUCCCAACAGCUAGUACUCAUCGUUUACAGCGUGGACUAC